AAGCAAUUUGCUCAUAGCCAUAGCUUUCUUGUGAAAGUAGGAUAUUAACCCAGGUGUCUUGGUGCUGGAGAACAGAACUGGCCAGAGUCCAUCCUGUCUCCCACCGGCAUCCCAUUACGAAAUGAACACAGAAAAGGCAGGUCUGCAAUGCCAACAUCUAGUAUCUAUCCCAAAGACCAGGGAGAAAGGAAGGAAAGAUUCUGGUUCUGUCCUCUUCCCCAAGGCAAGGCUGGCUGCCCUACCAACAGAGGCAAAGAGAAGAGUGUGCAAGGCUGGCUGCCCUCCCAACAGAGGCAAAGAGGAGUGUGUGUUGAAAUAUCCAUUGAAUCCCUGAGACAACUGGAUCCUGGCCCAUUGAAUCAUAAACUCAUUUCAGAGAAGAUGAAACUGAUGUGCGUCAAAAAGUAAACUACCCACAUUUUAACUGGGCACAUUCCUGUCAAUCUGAUGAGAAUCUAUUUCAUACCCUGCUUUAGCUGGUAGUCUGUCAAGGAAAUGAGCUGAACAUGUCUGUGUACAGCUUUUGUGCCAUCCCUGGAUGAGCGAGCUGUCUGCCUCUAUGUUCUCCACAAAAUGGAAUAUAGCUGUACACCCAAGCCAAGUUAUGGAGGCUGGGAAGACCUAGAAUGUGGCAUCACUAUUUGGAAACCAUGCCGAUUACCGACCGAGCUCUCAAUGGAAAAAUGCAGUCGGCGUGAACCACGCACGAACACAGCAGAGAAAGAAGAAAACACACACCACGAGGAACCCUAAUAGGACAAUACAUUAUAAGUCACAGUGCUACGGAGAAACCCAGUAGCCACAUGGAAGCAGAGACCAUGCAUAUGCAUCUACUCCGCAGCUCUGUGAAUGUCAGCAGCUCCCACGGACUGGAGAUCCCGUGAGAUCCCGUGAGAUCUCACCCAUAGCCUCAUGGUACAUCCACUUGGUGUGCUGGGAGAGUCAGGAUGAGGACCUGAGAAGAACAGCAGCUUGAACCUGACUUCAUUUAACAGCCCACUGCCCUCUUGCCAAGAACCCAUCACAGACCUUCCCAGAAGAGAGGGAUGAGCCUCACCUAUGAAUAAGUCCUCAGAAACUCAAAUUUGAUUCUAAUGGAUUGUUUUCUCAGAAAGACUGAGCAUGUCCCCCCACAUCUCUGUCAUUUCCCACAGUAGUAACCUCUGCAGAUGCCACAUAGAAAACAAAACAAAACAAAAAAACAUGAGGUUGGUGGGCAGAUAGGCAGGGUAUAAACAAACAGCCUUGUAACCCAGAAGCUGUGUGAUAUACAGUAAACUUCACAACACUGAAAAGAUGUCCUAUCUGUUAAAAUGGGGUAAUAACAACUACCCGAAUGUUUAGGAAUAGAACUUCAAUAAAUGAUACAUUUUAUAGUACAGCAGACCAUCCUGUAAAGGUUUCAUCCUUCACUGUGGUGAUAAAUAUCCCAAACCACAUUGAAAAGCAUUGCAUCUACAUUUAUCUACACUGUAACUGUACUGUAAAUCAUGGGGGAGGGGAGAAUCAUAAAAACACCACCUGUCACCGUGUCAUUAAAGCAAGUUGGAAGUGAUACUUACAGAAACACAGCAAGAGCACCCCCAGUCACACAGUUCAAUCUCUUAGCAAGCGUUUUCUUUCUAGCCCAGUGGUUCUCAGUUUGGAAUUUUUGGCACUGCCUAGAGAUAGUUUUGUUGUUAAAACUGAGAAAAGAGCCGGGCGUGGUGGCACACGCCUUUAAUCCCAGCACUCAGGAGGCAGAGGCAGG
rnacentral:lncRNA from 1 species